ACGUUGAUCAUGGAAGCUAUCAAACACACCAUCCCUGGCUAAGAAAACUGCCCUGGUCAUUGCCUCAAAGGAGAGAAGUGUCCCUAAGCUGUUGCCCAUCCAGACUCUGCUGUGUUUUGACCACGUGACCUGCACCCUCCUUUGGCCACGUGUGGUUGGACAGAGGCGGAUACCUUGCCCUGGACCUCCAUGCACAGACUGACUGGUAUUGUCUGAUGUGGUCCAGCUCAACCAACCCUGCCCAAAAAUGAGAUCUUUCAAAUUAGAUCUUUCUAUCUUUGGGAAUUGAUUUUGGAAAUAAAGUGAAAAUGAGCCAGCUGGUAGCAGGACAAGAAUCAUGAAGAUACCCUUAGAAGAGGGGCGUGAAGAUUGAGGUCGCUGAGUCAUGCUGCUGCUGGAGCUUUAGGACCGGUGGUUCUGAACCCAAAUGCCUGUGCACAUGGGCUGGCAGCUCCCCUCACAGACGAUGUGGCUGAAAACCCACCAAGACAGAGCUGUGCCCUGAUUCUCCACCGAGUUGGAGCCCUUUUACGUAGUACAACAGAGCAUGCAAAAGACAAUAACAGCAACAAACAAAGUCUUGCAGGCACAGUGUCUGUGGACGGCUUUGGCCAACAGGACAAUCAGGGACACCAGGAGACCCAGAAGCAACAUGGAGCCCAAAGUGAUGACGAAAGGCACGUACCACGCUGAUGGGGAAUACACAUUCUUCCUCAGGAUCUGGUAGAUGAUCCUGGGCUUGAAUGAGAGAAGGG